AGGUGCGAUCAGACCAGCACUAAUGCACCGGAUCCCAUCAAAACUCCGCAGUUAAGUGUGCUUGGGCGAGAGUAGUGCUUGGGCGAGAGUAGUACUAGGAUGGGUGACCUCCUGGGAAGUCCUCGUGUUGCACCCC
rfam:Arabis alpina cultivar Pajares scaff_47466_1_contig_0, whole genome shotgun sequence.